GACGAACGCUGGCGGCGUGCUUAACACAUGCAAGUCGAACGGAAAGGCCCUGCUUUUGUGGGGUGCUCGAGUGGCGAACGGGUGAGUAACACGUGAGUAACCUGCACUUGACUUUGGGAUAACUUCAGGAAACUGGGGCUCAUACCGGAUAGGAGCUCCUGCUGCAUGGUGGGGGUUGGAAAGUUUCGGCGGUUGGGGCUGGACUCGCGGCUUAUCAGCUUGUUGGGGGGGUAGUGGCUUACCAAGGCUUUGACGGGUAGCCGGCCUGGGAGGGUGACCGGCCACAUUGGGACUGAGAUACGGCCCAGACUCCUACGGGAGGCAGCAGUGGGGAAUAUUGCAGAAUGGGCGGAAGCCUGAUGCAGCAACGCCGCGUGCGGGAUGACGGCCUUCGGGUUGUAAACCGCUUUCGCCUGUGACGAAGCGUGAUUGACGGUAAUGGGUAAAGAAGCACCGGCUAACUACGUG
rnacentral:rRNA from 1 species